CCGUGCUAGACGGGGAGGUAGCGGUGCCCUGUUGCCCGCAAUCCGCUGUAGCGGGGUUGAAUGCCUGUUAGCGGUCUUGUCGAUGUGAGGUCUGGCCUUUACACGUGGUGUUGAGGGUCGGGUCUUCCGCAAUAAAAGUCUGUGAACCCGGUCAGGUCCGGAAGGAAGCAGCCGUAAGUGGAAAGUUUUAUGUGCCGGAAGAGUGCCUAACCUGAGCUAACGAUAAGGGUUCGCUUGGAUUGCAAGAUCAAUAACAGGGCACGG
rnacentral:SRP_RNA from 1 species